UGUCCUUUUAUCUUCUUAUCUUCU
rnacentral:sRNA from 1 species